GCCCUAAUUACAUGCAAGCUCGAACGAGACGACCUUAGGAAAACUGAGCUGCUUGCACGAAGUUGGAUCAAGAUCAUCGUCUAGUGGCAGACGGGUGAGUAACACGUGGGUAACCUACCUUCAAGUUGGGGAUAACAGUUGGAAACGAUUGCUUAUACCGAAUAAGGUACUUGUACUGAAAGGAGCCUUUAAAGCUUUGCUUAAAGAUGGGCCUGCGGCGUAUUAACUAGUUGGUGAGGUAAUGGCCCACCAAGGUAACGAUGCGUAGCCGAACUGAGAGGUUGAACGGCCACACUGGGACUGAGACACGGCCCAGACUCCUACGGGAGACAGCAGUUAGGAAUAUUCGUCAAUGGGGGAAACCCUGAACGAGCAAUGCCGCGUGAGUGAUGAAGGCCCUCUGGGUUGUAAAACUCUGUUGUAUGGGAAGAACGGUUCUAUUAGGAAAUGAAUAGAGAGUGACGGUACCAUACGAGAAAGCUCCGGCUAACUACGUGCCAGCAGCCGCGGUAAUACGUAGGGAGCGAGCGUUAUCCGGAUUUAUUGGGCGUAAAGCGUGCGUAGGCGGUUUAUUAAGUUUAAGAUCAAAUGCUGAGGCUCAACUUCAGUUCGUCUUAAAAACUGGUAGACUUGAGUGUGGUAGAGGUAAAUGGAAUUUCUAGUGUAGCGGUGAAAUGCGUAGAUAUUAGAAGGAACACCAGUGGCGAAGCGAUUUACUGGGCCAUAACUGACGCUGAGGCACGAAGCGUGGGAGCAAUAGGAUUAGAUCCCUAUAGUCCAGCCGUAACGAUGAUNCUANUGUUGGGNUACCCAUGCUGANCUACNNUNANUCUCCCCUGAUUUNCGNUCCAGNUUAACUNAGGAUUGCGGCCCNCCANCGUGNCCUGUNUUNUUNAAUCCNANACUUCUNNUNAUC
rnacentral:rRNA from 1 species